rnacentral:rRNA from 1 species
GAAGGGUGCAAGCGUUACUCGGAAUUACUGGGCGUAAAGCGUGCGUAGGUGGUUCGUUAAGUCUGAUGUGAAAGCCCUGGGCUCAACCUGGGAAUGGCAUUGGAUACUGGCGACCUAGAGUGCGGUAGAGGGUAGUGGAAUUCCCGGUGUAGCAGUGAAAUGCGUAGAUAUCGGGAGGAACAUCUGUGGCGAAGGCGACUACCUGGACCAGCACUGACACUGAGGCACGAAAGCGUGGGGAGCAAACAGGAUUAGAUACCCUGGUAGUCCACGCCCUAAACGAUGCGAACUGGAUGUUGGGUGCAACUUGGCACUCAGUAUCGAAGCUAACGCGUUAAGUUCGCCGCCUGGGAAGUACGGUCGCAAGACUGAA